rnacentral:tRNA from 1 species
AAUCUUAUAUUCAUUAAUGAUUUUAAAUUGCAAAUUUAGAGGAAAAGGUAACUUUUAAGAUUU